AUCACUUCUUAGCCUUUUGGCUAAGAUCAAGUGUAGUAUCAAAUCUAUGGCUUUCAUCUCUAUCUUAGAAGACACAACUAAAAUGUAUUAAUGAGAAUUUGUCUUUUUCCUUAGAAGUUUUUCUCAAAGCUAA
rnacentral:snRNA from 1 species